ACAUGAGGCACACAUAAAAAAAUAGAAUAUUAAAAGUAGGGGGGAUAAAGAAGCGCAACUCUUGCAAAAACCCCGAAGCGCACCCAAGCGACCGAGCAGCAAAGCCCCGGAGCUUCGCACUGCCACGAAAUACAAACCUUGCCCUAAAAACAAGGCCGGUUAUGCGCCCCGCUUCCCAAGCUGCCUCAUUAAAGCAGCGUAGGGCUCCCGGAGGCCGCGAGGCAUGAAUGAGUUUCAGAGAAACCCCGGCGAACGCAAAGCCUGCCUUCCAAGAAGCGACCGAAAAGCGCAAAUGGGGAAAAGUUUUACAUUACAGCACAAGUCCAGAAAUAGCUCCCAGCCGCCUUGGCCUCUAGCACGGUUGCCAUGACAAUGGAACCACAGCUCUAUAAAUAGCUCAUCAGCACCAAAUCUUGUGAGACGCAUCUGGAACGGGGCCAGCCCAGCCCCAGCUCGACAAAUAAAAAUAGGCACAGGCGGUUUUCAAAGGCUGGCAAGCCUGCAGCAGAGCCGUACGGCUUCUGAGCCCCUCACAGCGCAGUGCAGUGCACGGGAGGCCAUUAAAAUAAGGCAAAGCUGAAGAAAAGUGAUCCUCACGGGUCCCCCCUCUGACUCGUGGUUCGGUGCUCGUGUGAAGCCGGAGGGCUGCGUGCUGUAGCACAGCCGUCCCCCAGGCCGCAGGCACACUGCUCCGCUCCUCGCCUGGACACGGCACGGCCACAAUCACGACCAGGAGGUUACAGAGCGAGGGAUCCGCGCCCCUACAGCCCCAGGCCUUGCCUUCAGAGGUCGGUGAGGAGCGGCACGAGCCGGCCCCAGCUCCACAGCCCCACUCGGCAGAAUUGCCUUUCGAACAAGCGCUUGCUUUCCCUCGGUGGGUGAGAAAAUGCAGUAUUUUUAGCACAGACUCUUGAUCAACCCAUUCAAUUACAUCCAAAUUAUCUGUGUGGGAACAGAAUGUUAUGUCAAAAAUGUUAUUCAGUGUAUUUGUCAAUAUUACCCAACAGUAGGCAUUUGUAUAAUCAGGAGACUCAAUAUUUUCUGCAGCGUAUGAAAGCAACGGUUCAGGAAUAAGACUGAAGUUGUACGGCUUGGCAAUUUCAGACACGGGAAAUAGUAGUCAGUGUGAUAUAACACAGCGAGCACAACUCUCAAAAUAUAAAAUCUUCGCUGCUCUAUCAAAAGCCAAUAGAGACUACAGAUGGUAAUCAAAAUACUGCGACUAUAAUAAGCAUUGAAGCCACAGUGAAAUAUCUUCCGUAUGCCAUAAAGGCACCAGUGCACGCAUUCAACACAAACUGCACCAUCAGCCCACAGGAUUCCUUUAGGUCCCUACAUGGAUAUUUUCAUUUCUAAAAAUUGUAGAGUAACUUCCAUCCAGGCUUAAAUCUGUAUGUAAACUUCCCUUCCCUUCCCCCUUCCGUUCACCACAUCCAGCUUGCUCAUUUGCCAGCCGAACAAUGUAUACUUCAGAAAACAGCAGUUUUCACAGAAAUACUUCUGGAAAACGUACUUUAUAACAUGUAACGUAAUGCGAUUCAGGAUUUAUUGGGUUUUAUAAAGAUACUUCAAGCUAGUUUAAGAGCCUAUAAUCAGCUGCAUGUUUGGAUUGAAAUGAUAUAAAAAAGAACGCUAUGUAUAUAUUUCUUCCUAAAGAAAGCAAAUUCAUAAAUAAUUAUGAGAUGGCUCUCUCUGAGUCACACAAUGAACAAACCUCAUGGUUUUGUAGGGGGGAGAGAGUGAGGCAGAGGGUUGGCAAACAGAAAGCACCACCCGGGGCCCGACCUGGCCACUUGGAGGGGCUGGGCAGCGCCUGCCCGCUCCUCUCCUCGCCUUGGGGCUGCUGUCCCUUCCCGCAGCGGGGCCGGGGAACAUCUCGUCCCUAACACUUCCACUAACCGAGGGCACGCUCUGCCCCACACCUCUGCUGGGUGCUUUUCACACAGCCCCCCCUCCCUAUCGCUAUACAGCGAUACACAGAACAAACCCCAACUCUUGAGGCCUUUCUGGCUGCCCUCACUUGUACUUUUCAAACCUGUAGAAGAGGUAUUUUCGUCCUCUCAUGACUACCAACAGACUGGUUAAAAACAACUUACUCCCAAAUGCCCUCAAGGUGCACCCCCGUGAUACAAGCCUGUAUAUGUCCCAUAGCUUCACAACAGCCCCUCACCCCGCCCCACAUUACUUCACCAUGCCAGGAGGAAACUUAAGCUGAUCCAAGCCUCAGGUUGGGUCCAGAAAUGAAAGGUAACGGUAUGAAUGAGAUCACUGCGCCAGGAUUCGAUCCCAGGGCAAGCCCGGGGCGGAAACAUGGCUAGGGAGUGGGAAGGAACAUGGUGCAAUCCCUAUUAUCUUCUGCUUUCUUUGAGGAAAAGAAAAAAAAAAAAAGGCUGCCAAAGAAGUCAAAAAAACAAACAAGGGAAAAGAAGAAGCCAUUAAACAUUCACACAACAAAAUUUCUCAAUUCACUUCCCUUUCUGCACCUUUUCUACAACUUUUCUUCACAAAUUUUUGUGGUCCAGAGCAACGAGAGACCCAGACCUAACCAACAAUCCUGUUUGUUGCAAAGCACAACAAAUGGAUUGCUUUAGGCAUGGGGACUUUAGCCCUUCUCUACAGUUUGAAACGAAUUUGUUUGCCUGUCGCCAUUUUCACCUAUCCCUAUUUACAGGCCGGUGUUCUAAAGAAAACAAGAACAGAAUUAAUCAGGAGGCAAAGUACCAGCUACCUCUGAACAAUUCAUCUGUUACUGGAAACUGAACGAAAGGGAGAUGGCAGGCUCAGCCUGGGGAUCUCUGAAGGAUUAUCAGGCCCUGCACCACCAGGGUACCAGCGACAGAGAAUGUGGGAGCUGCAGCAUUAAAACUUGAAACUAGUUUUAACCUUGUGCGACCCUCCAAGACCUUCAUCGUGCAGAACCAAACUCCUAAGCACUCCAUCAACUUCCGUACCUUUUUCAGUUAUUUCCGUAAGGGCUCUGAACAUUUGUAAUUUUAAACUUCACACAGGGAAGGAAAAGCCAAGGAUAAUACCUAAUUGUAAGAAAAUAAAUUCUAUUGCCAUGUGUUUUUUUUUUAAGCUAUCGAUAAAGUCAUCAAGCUGGAAUAAUGAGAAAUCCAGUAUGGUUGACUGCGAAUGUCUCUCCCAUUAAAUUCCCCACCUUAAAUAUCCAUAGUCUAAAUAUAUUUUUGUUGUGCCUGUUUUCUGGAAGGUAGAAAAAGGUCUUUAGCUACAACGGAGGUCAGUGAUUUUCUGUUGUAAUCUGUUUUUAAUUGUAGACUAAGGUGACAGACCAAAUCCAAACAGAGCAGAAGAAACCAACAGAACAAUCACAGACUGCAUUAGACCAACGCUCAGUGGGGGCUGAACAUGGAGGGAUAUUUUAAAUUUAAUAAUUUCUAAAAACCAAAUUAAAAGAAACUUGUACAGUAAGGAAGAGACAUUCUCAUACAGGUUUGAAAAUAGUUUACACUAACUCGAACUAAGGAAACUGUUUAGGCAAAAUCAUUUAGGCAAAAAUCAACAUGAAUAAUUUUAAAUGAAAUUAAGAAGUGGCUCUACAGAACACAACUUCGUUUGAAAGGCCCCCAGUACACUUGAGUACUUCAAUUUCAUAUUUCUUUUCUAACGUGAACAACCACCCAUGCAAUUUUCAAAUAUCUAUCCCCUACUGUAGGCUGCUGUAAGUAAUUAAGACAGGUGAACCUAAUGGGAUAUCCUUUCAUUGUGUUUCAACAAAGCAUUUACAUGGAAUCCUGUCCUUCUGGUCUUUAGCUCCCUCCAGUGCUAUCAAAUCAGUAGAAUUGUGUUCUGUUGAUAAAGACCGUCACAUAUAUAAAAUUUUAAAAUUGAAUUUUUCUCACAAAAUUAAUGACGUCAGGAUUUCUAGAAAAAAUAUUUUAAAAAUACAGGAUCAUUUGGGGACAAUUUUAUCUUACACAAAAUAGAGUGCUUCAAUCUUUUGUGUUUUUCACAUUGAACACUGAAAAUUUAGACAAAUGGGACAGGCGUUACUUUAUGGUACAAGAUGCAGGCACGAGCAAUGCUCAGAAGACUGGCUAAAAAGCUGAUCUCUAAUGAAGUACUUACACUAGCUAGACCAGGCAAUGGGAAAAUAAGGUGGACUGAAAAAGGUCUGAAAGGGUAAAAAGCUGGUGGUGUCUACAACAAGAGCAUCAUUUCACUGAAAAAACAGUACUUUCCUUCUACUGGGAUGGUGCUGGUAGAAGCGUACUCUCGUUGACUGUGAUGGAAAAGGAUAGCCAGAAAGUUAACAAACAAACAAAAAUAUGUAUCAAAAAAACAAAGAGCUAGAGCCGAAAUAGCUCUAUGCUGAAGGCCACAGAAUGCUUUACAAGCAUUUUUAAUUGGUAUUUGCACCAUGUCUUUCAGAUGCUAGAAGAAUUAAUACACUAAAACCCCAUUUGGUUUUGCCAUUUGAAGAAAUGGAGAUAUCUGCAGAAGCAGACAAAUCAAAUCAGACAGCCCCUGCAUUCUUCUGCUCGUGUUGUUAGUAUACUCUGAGCCCUAACUGCUGCAAAUACAAAACCAGGCGCUUCCUCGGCUUCCAAACAUCUAAAACCAGGCACCACCAUUUUUAACAGAGAUUGCUGAAAAAGAGGCAGAGGGAGAUGAUACGAUCUUACUCGACAGAAAAGGAAUUUUGCUCCCAGGAUUGAGUUUCCGCAGGAACCAGGGAAGCAGUUAUACUGCAGAGGAUGAAUAUGGGCCCCAGAUGAGCCCAGAACAAUGGGAGGACAAACGAGCGCUGUUCUGAGGGCGGACUUCGCUGCCUUAUUUAAAUAUAUUUGUACAAAGGUCUUCAGAGAAACACUUCGCUGCACUUAACGUGCAAGAAUCCAGUCCAACACCGGAAUUUUGCCUAUUUAAGCACUACCACAACCAAGAGCUUUUUGCUCUGUAUUUUAGGAAGUUUGGUUCUGCUGCAACAGUGCAGGAAUGUUGACAGUUACCCUGCUCACGGGAAGCUCAAACCUUCCACCUCCCCUGUGCCAGCGCCGCACGUGAUGCUCGCUCCAGGCGCUCCUGGCCGGGGCGGCGGGCAGCUCCUUCGCCGAGCUACCUGUCAGUACCUGCUCGGCACUUGCCAGUUGGAGCAAUUCGCAGCAGCUCACAUUUCAGUUUUCGCUUUUCUCAGGGCAUGCUUUUUUUUUUUUUUUUUUUCUCUCUCGAACUUGGGAAAAACAACUCCAGGCCUCUGUAAAAGGAGGCAGACAAACUGGCAUCAUGUAUUACAGCAUCUGUAAGAGCGCACCUCUCAGCACUGAGUGAGUGGGAAUAUCAAGUUACUCUUCUUUCUUCUUGAAACAUUCACUUGAUCAUGAAAUUUAAUACCAGCCAUACUUAAAAAAAAUCAUUUUAAAACAAACAGUUGAUACAGAGCUACCACAGCAAUUGUAUACUGUUAAUUUUGAGGACCAUACUGUUAUUAAUCUUUGGCUACUGUGAAAAUCAUUCCCUGCAAAUAUCUUUUGCCACACAAUAAAAUGAAGUCAAAUUUAAGUGCUUGUCUCUCCCUGGUACACAUUACAUGCAGGCAGAUAAAAGGAGCAAGAAACCAAGCUCGAUGCCAAAUUCAAAGGCAAACACUAAAGGUGAACACAUUAAUUCUGUGGGAAAGCCACUGGCAGGGAGGGACAGCACGUCUGCAGAGGUACAGCCCUCGUCUGUUCUUGUGUAACUUUUACACAUCACACAACAAGAACUGUCAGUCAUUUUAUUUCAUGAUUCUGCUCUUUGCUUAAAUAUUCAGAUUCCUUUUUCACUCUUCCUAAAAGGAAAAAACGAAUACAGACCCUUCACUUAUUUAAAUGUUGUUUGUGAUAACAUCAACACAUGGCCAAAGACUACAAAAUAUUUCCCCAAAUAGUAUUUGCAUAUUUAUCAUUUUUAAGCUUCCAAUUCAAUGGAUACCUCAUACAACAUGCUGGCUUUAAAAAGACUCACAAACAGCACUAAUUUAGCAUGAUAAGCUAUUUUAGAAUAAUUUACAUAAAAUAUUGUGGCCCUUCCCCCUCUCUUCCCCACAGACCUGCUAACUUUACUCAAUUUAUCCUAAAGCAGAAUUUUAAUCAUUAUAAAAAUAUGAACUCCUAUAAAUCUCAUUUCCCAAAACAGACUAGCUAUAAAAAGGACUUUCAAAAUGGUGCUAAAAGCUCUAAUCAUUAAAAUGUCUGUAAAACAGAAAGUAGAAUAUACUUCUUUUUGCAAAAGCUAUUUUAACAUUUGCAAACGUUACUUUUAGCACCAACUUUUCUAACCCGCGUGCUUUUAAGAACAAAGCAACAGAGAAUGUAGAAUCAGAGUGUGUGAAGGAAAGGUAAAAUCCCUGACAAGGCACAACCGUAGCCUGUUUCCUCUCUCAGCCAGCCAAGAGUGGUGUGUGCUGGUUUCGGCACCGAGAGGUUUCCUAUUGUAGUCACUGACUCACGCCCAGGCAGUCAGGUGCUGCAGACGCUGGAGCAGAGACGGUGCCGGAGUCAGUGCGCAGAGCUGGGGCUGGCGGGGGCACGUGUACAAAACCGAGCUGCACAGGAAAAAGGAGGUGGAGGGAAAUUUUUGAAGGACUUUUAAAAUACCUUCUCCUGCAGCUAACUUGGGGCGAUGUUACAAUGAGGAAGUGGUAACACAGUUGUUUCAGUUAGUUUUUGUUGUUUUUUUUUUUUUUUUUUUUUUUUUUUUAAAACCAGCAUUAUUGAAUCUAGUCAGUAUAGGUACAAUAGAAACGUUGUAACUACCUGAACAAUUACUAAACAUAUUUGUAGAAUGUAACUAUUUAAACAUUGCAACCUUAACAGCCACCAAUAGGGAAUAGAUACCUCUCUUGGAACAGAACCUGGUACUGAGACAUUAAGGCUGAGAAGUGCUACUGGAGGCGGUUCAGUGACACCUCGAGCCAUGGCUGCAGUCUCAGCACCCUACCUGGGAGAUUUUAGAGGCCAAGGACUGAGAAAAGAAUGGGCUCCGAGUUUUAUAUGCUCCUCCUCUGAAAUGGUUCUCUGCACGUCCAGGCAGUGCAGAACCAAAACCCACCUAUUACCGAGACUGGGAAGAACCACUGCUCUGUGUUACACCAAACAAACCUCUGCUAAAUUACUGUCCAUCUCCAGAAACCCCAAUGUUAGCCCCUCUUUUCUCAGGCGAUGGGGGGAAUGGAGGGGAAAAAAAAAGAUUCUAGCCGUUAUGGUCUUGAGGCAAGUAGAAAAUGGUGCUGUGAGGUCUACCUACCUAUGUAGGGAGUGUGAAACAAGCACAUCUGAGAGGUGGAAAAUGAUUUCAUCUCAGCGAGCAUUAAUUCUGAAACUGCGGUGCUGCUGCUGUAUGUUGACAUCAUUAACUACUUUAUUACGCUGGAAAGAAAGUCUCACAAAGCUAAGAAUAACAACUCAUUUUAGCACCAUGAGUGGGUGGACUCCUCUCCCCAGCCCCUCAGCUCAGGCACAGACGGGCAGAAGGAAACCUGAGGGAAAGGGAAACCAAAGUGGAGAGCCCAGGGCAUGCACACAGGUUCCACGGAGCUGCCAGAGCUCAAAUCCCACAGCAGGAUUAAAGCCUUACAAUCCCAGCAGAGAACACACACACAUCUUGACAAUCUCUUUGUCUGCAGAGGGCAGUGUCUCAUGUCUGCAUUUUAAAUGGCUGAAAUCUUAAACCUAAAUUAUUUAUUAAUGGAUUAAAAAUUUCCUCUUCUACAUGAAAGGAACAUUUAAACAGACUCACAGGAAGAACUGAACAAAAACGGAUGCUAAAAACUAUGGGCUCUGUUCCUGUAGUGGAGAAGACAAGAAGGGGACUAAGAAGGUAUUCCUCUUCCCCAGAUGUAGUGUUAAUUCCCACAUCAACAUACAUGAGGGGCUAUGAACCCAGCUGGGGCUUUGGCCACCCGUAUAAAGCUAUGCACAAUAAUCAAGUCUAUUAUUCUGUAUAAAGAAUAAGGAAACCUCUCAUAAUGUCUUAUUGCAAGGAAGCAAUAAAGGACGUGCAGCGCCCUUCAGUGUUGCAGCCUUGGUUCAAAUAUGUGCCUGAAGCAUAGCGGUCACCUUACAUUUGGUAAUAAACAUGCAAUUCCAAAGUGUGCUAGGAAGCAGAGGCACGCAGCAGCAGUGCUGGAAUGAUCAGACCCAGCCGGGCUGUGCUGGCUCACCUAUUGCUCUGAUACCUGUAAGCAGACACUGUGUGAUUUAAAGCACAGAAGACAAUUCCAGGAUUUCCAUUUGUUCUGCACUACUAUAAUUAGAGCUUCCGGCUCCUGGUUUACACUAAGAACAGCGGCGAGGACUGCAAGGUGGAAGAGGCUCAGAUCAGAUGGGGCAGACUGGGAGAAAGGCUGGUGAGAAAGCUCAGUAGUUCUGGAGACAGCAGCAGCACAGCAGGAGCGAUAAGCGCUCCCACAAAAACACCCAGCCCACGCUCCCAAAGCUGUGGUGUUUGCUGGCGGCGCGCAGCACGAAUGGCAGACGCCGAGGCCAGCAGCCACCCGCUCACAGCGGCAAGACAACUAUGAAACCCUGACGGUGCUGGCACAGCUGCAUCCCAACAGUGCCUCCUGUGCUGUCAGUGUGGGCCAGGAGCCUCUCAGCAAAGCCCCGCGGGCUGCGUGCCGCCCAGGCGAUUUGAGGAUCACUGUGGAUGCAAUGCUCUACCAGGGAGCCACCGUUUUACUGGAUCAAAUUUACUUCAGGGAAAACAUGCCGAUGAUAUCACAAAGGAAACGCAUACCUACAAAUAGUUGAAGAUAUUCUCCAGUUACUGGCACAUGUCCAGAGGCGAAUACAAAACUCUUUGGGAGAGGCCAGAGAACUCAGCAUUUCCCAUAACUGAGUCAGAAAUACUUUCAGCAAGGAUUCAGCCUCAUUAUCGAUAGUUUUUUGUGUUUAGAAAGAAGAACAAGGCUAAAAUAUUUUGGGCGUCUGCUUACGUUAUCUCCACAUUUCUAGUAGUACAAACGAAACCGGAUGUUGCUGCAAGAAGGGAUAAUGGGAAGGGAAUUUUAUUUAAGAAAUUCCUGUCAAGCUUGAACUUUCAUUUUUUCCCUCUGUUACGUUUCAAGAGGCCCCAGUAUUUGCGAAAUGUACCGACACGUGAUUCUAUACCCAUUAUAUCCCACGGCGCCUUUGGUUAAGAGGCUCCAGCAGUGUAUCAUCACACCAUCUCCCUUUUAUUUUUACUUUCACGAGAUAUUUCAUCACCACAGAAGCUUAAGCUGUUGAUACUGGAACACUGCUCGGAUUUAAUUCUUUCAUACAGCUCCCAUUUAAAACCCAUCGCUCUCGUUAGGGAGGAGGAACUCACUCUUGGGGAGAGCACCAGGAUGGAAGGUCGGCAGGCGUGGGCUGCCCAUUUGUCAAGACCGCGCUGGAAUUUUAAACCAAGUAAUCAAUACUCCUCUGCUUCUUCGGAAUAUACUUACACGUGGACAGAAGGAAGGCAAUGAUGAACACCACAAUAAGAUCACGAAAAAGAAAAGGCCAAAGCUACUCUCAGUUGGAGAUGCUUUUUUCAUUGGUCCUACCAAGCAGAAAAGAGAAAAUCUGGAAAGCUGGAACAUGUAACCUCCACAAAGGCAAGCUGAAAACCCUGAUGAUCUGGUGGUUUUCUGAAAAGCAGGACUCUACUGGAAGCGAUGUGUACCUUUAUAAAGCACGACACUCCUGGCAGCAACAGAUGUGUGCAGGAUCAGAACAGAGUCAUGCAUGCAGGGCUGCCUCCACAGUGCACACACCUUCAUGGCCAGACAAGCUCUCACCAACCUCCACUUGAGCUUCACAGGGUGAAAGGCCUGCGCUUGUGGAUCUGUCUAGAGAUCUGGGGCCUGACGUUGUGAUUCUUUAAAUUCCAUCCUAACUUCAUAAGCUAAGGGCACAUACCCUGCAGCUCUGCUCCAUAUAAAAGUCUCCCUGCUGGGAAAUCACUGAUGACUGUAUGUAAAAAGGUAACUGAACAACUUUUCCAUCCUACAAUAUAUUGCAUUUGGUACUGGAACGAUAAAAACAACUUCUAAGUUUAGCACUGAGGGACAUGUAAAAACAGCAACAAAUACGCGACAGAAUCAAAAUGUAAGAUGGAUUACAAUACUUUCCCACUUUUCUCAUUAGCUACUUUCUUGCUUGUCUGAGCUUAUCCUUGACUUAUCUGACACAGUGUAAAUUAAAUUAAAAUCCCAAAUUCAUGGCUUUUAGAAGCACGUUUACCACCACAUUUCCUAGUCUUUGAACACAACAGAAAUUUGAUGCCCAAAGGUGUUUUUGGUUGUAUGCCCAAAAGGCAUAUCCAAGGGUGAUUUGCACAUUUACUAUGUUGCUGUCUUAACAGACUAUCACAGAAAACCUUGCCAAGCCACUGCCAUGCCAACCAGGCUCACAGGUGAAACUUUAUUUCAUCUAUGUGUACACCAGUAUUUUGUGAUAGUCUCUUACUGUGAUUAAAACCAGAAAAUGCUUAAGAAUUUCUAUAUUAAAUUUAUGCCUAUUUCCUGUUUAAUUCAGCUGACAGCUCUUCUCUUUCAACAUAAAUUGAAUUAAUCUGUUCUUGUACUUUAAGACUGCUCUGAGGAAAACAAAGGAGAUGUAUCAAGAGAAAUUAAGUCAUGAUUUCUUCAAAUGAAUUUCUAAAUGUGAACUUAUGAACCUACAAACAUGGUAUGGUGGGAAUUUACUUGAUAAAAAUACAAAUGCAGAAGAAAGCGUUAGUGUUUACUUUGAAUGCUAAUCGAAUAAAUUAAUAAUAAAGCAAAA